CCACAGAAGGUAAUAGUCCUGUAUGUUAAACGAGAAAACUUUAGAUAUGAUCCAGAGUACCACGGGACACGUGAAACCCUGUGGGAAGCAGGAGGGACCACCCUCCAAGGCUAAAUACUACCUAGUGACCGAUAGCGUAUAGUACCGUGAGGGAAAGGAGAAAAGAACCCCGGGAGGGGAGUGAAAUAGAACCUGAAACCCUGCACUUACAAGCUGUGGAAGCACAUUUCUUGUGUGACCGCGUACUUUUUGUAGAACGGGCCAACGAGUUACGUUAAGUAGCAAGGUUAAGCACGUAAGGUGUGGAGC
rnacentral:rRNA from 1 species